rnacentral:rRNA from 1 species
GACGAACGCUGGCGGCGUGCUUAACACAUGCAAGUCGAACGGUAAGGCCCUUCGGGGUACACGAGUGGCGAACGGGUGAGUAACACGUGGGUGAUCUGCCCUGCAUUUCGGCAUAAGCCUGGGAAACUGCGUCUAAUACCGAUUAGGACCACUCCCUGCUUGGGUGGUGGUGGAAAGAUUUUGGAGUGUUGGGAUGGGCCCGCGGCCUAUCAGCUUGUUGGUGGGGUGAUGGCCUACCAAGGCGACGACAGGUAGCUGGCAUGAGAGGGUGACCGGCCACACUGGGACUGAGAUACGGCCGAGACUCCUACGGGAGGCAGCAGUGGGGAAUAUUGCACAAUGGGCGCAAGCCUGAUGCAGCGACGCCGCGUGAGGGAUGACGGCCUUCGGGUUGUAAACCUCUUUCAGCACCGACGAAGCGCAAGUGACGGGAGGUGCAGAAGAAGGACCGGCCAACUACGUGCCAGCCGCCGCCGUAA